rnacentral:lncRNA from 1 species
AUGUGCCUGCAGGGAGAGGAGAGCAGUAUGGAGACGUCUUUUAGUGCUCAAGAGGGUGAAAUCGGAGAGGUAGAGAGAGAGAUUACCCUGUCAAUACCUCUCUCUGUCAAUCAUCUCUCUCUCUCUCUCAGAGCCCUGUGUUCCUUUACAACCUUUUUUUGGCUUCUUUUUUCACUGUUAUUUCAUCUCUCUCUUUUUUUUAAAUCUUUGAGCUAUAUCAUCCCUUCUCUUAACAUGCUGUAUUUUUCAGUUUUUUUAUUUUUUUAUUUUACCCUCCUUUCAUCCCUGUCCUUCUUUCACCUCUCUCUCUCUCCUGACUCUUUGUGUGCCUACAGGCUGGGCUGAUUUGUUCAAAGUCACAUUCAAAGUGUGAUGGCCUCAGGAAGAGCGUCUGCCAACCAGAAACUCUAGUCAUAAAAGAGAAACAGAAAAAGAAGAGAGAGAGAGAGAGAGAGAGUGAAGGUGCUUCAGGAACAUGUACCCAAUUCUGUAUAGUACUCAAGCUAAAGUCAACAACUCAGCUGUGUGUGAAGAGUGGCAAGCAGAGGCCGUGAUUUACUCAAACACCCCCGCACACACGUUUAGCUAGCUGACCUAAGUGAGGGCAUGCAGUAAAUGCUUUUUUAUUUGUGUGUGUGUGUGUGCAUGUGUAUACAAUAUCAGUAUUUUUCUUUUUGUUGUUGAAUAUGAUUUUCUAUUAAUUCAGAAUUUACAGAAUUUGACAUAGCUGUUUAUUCUAUAAUUUCCCUACAAAUCAGAUGGGAUGUUUGACAUAAUUUGUGCUUGUUGUAUGGUGGAAAGAAAGCUCAACAGUUGCCAUCAAAGCUCCACAAGUAUAGAAGAUUGUAUUUUUGUAAAAACAAAAAUGUGAAAACCAUUAAAUGGCCAUGGCAGAAACCUCAAAAAUGGCACAAUUAUUGGAUUUAGAAUUUUUCAAUUCAUUGACAAAAAGGGCAUUUUUAAAAUUGUUAUAUUAUUUUAGUGAUGCUUAUUUCCAAUAAUUAAAUACAUUUUCAUUUAAAGUAAAACAAAAACAUGUAUGAAUCCUUUUUAUGAAUCUUUGAGGGCAUCUUUUAAGGGAGGUUUUGUCAGAUUUAUGUGAUGUCUGGGAACAAUUUUGUUCCCUAAGUAUAGCUAAGUAAACUUGUAGUUUACAAUUAUAUUUAUUCAUUUGGCAGGCAUUUUGAUCCAAAGCAACUUUGCAGCAUUUCUUGUUUACCACUUACCACAGAAGCAGUUAAACAGUUUCUCUGUUCUAUUUUAUACUCUCUGCCUAAUCCCAAAUUUCAACAGGAACUUGCUUGUAUAAAAGAAAUUAAGGUUAUCACACAGUUAACAUGCUGUCUGUUGUUUUUUUUUUUUCUACAGAUUCCUACAAAGAUAGUGAUUAUUAAAGUGAAGUUUGAUUUCCUGUAGUCUGAGGCCUCACUAUCUGCGUAAAUUUGAAUGUGGGUACGUGUUUGAACCACACUCUGGUAUGAAACACUUUAUCAUGAGAGAAAGUUUCUCAUCCUUGAACAACUGCCUCAGGCCAGAAGGGGCCGUCCCACGUCAAGCCGAACAUGAGUCUAUUGAAAACAUUCUCACAAAUUUUCACAAAUGUUUCCUAUCGCUGGAGGCCUCGCACAAUAGUGGGAAAUGUGGCAACCAGGGCCUAAACCUACGACACACCGUGCUGACAAGUAGACCUGAGUGACAGGAAGAUGACAUGAUUAUGAGAACAAUGACACACACACAAACGCGCACACACACAUAACUUGGGGUGUUAGUAUUGCUGAGGUUUUAGGUUACCUAGUUUGGCUGUGAUUUCUCUGUCCCACUGUCAUGCUGGGGUGGAGGGAGAUCUGUAAGGAUUAAGAAUUUGGGUUCCUGAUACAAAGGUUGCAAGUUCAAUCCGUAGCAGAGACCUUUUCAGCGUUGUGUCCUUGAGAACAGUACUUAACCCUACAUUUCUCCAGGGGAACCGGCCCUACAAUUACAGCACCACAAGGCUCUUGGAAUGAGAGUCCUCUGGUAAAUGGCACGCAAUUAACUAACUAACUACUCCAAGAGUUAACAUUCCAUUGCAUGCGAUUCCUGAAAAGUAUCGCUUAGGGGUUUUCCAUUUGUGGAUACCUGGUGUUUGCUGAUAUCAAAAUAAAAAACACAUGUUGACAUUCUCUCUCUCACUGAGCAAACCAAUAAAUAAGAUUAAGAUUACUUUUUUUAAAUGUUUGGAGGUCCCAAACUAAAAUUGGCAUGAUAAACGUUUCCAUCUGUUAAGCUAAUGAUGGUUAGUCAGCUCUUUUUGCUAAAGCCAUCGUUGUGUACAUGGGUGUGUUGUUGACCCCAUGACCUCUAGGGGAUAUAUAAAGACCACCUUUCCUGUCAUCUAGAACAAAGACCCCUGGGUAAUUGCAGAUGUGUGAAACAUUUUUCUGUUACACCAGUAACAUGUUAGAUCAUGCUAAUUUCAAUAACUUUUAUGCUAUUCUAUUUUUUUUUUGUCUAAUUUAAUUUUUUUACUGUAUUAUUUUUAGUUUUAAUUUUUUUUUACUGUUAUUAUUUUUAGUUUUCUUUCAAAGGUUAGUUUAAAAAAAAUAAUAAUAUUACAACAAUUUAGUUAUUUAAAUGAUAAUUUACAUUUGAAUUAAAUGAAUUAUAUAUUCAGUUUAAAUUGGCCCACUUAAUUUGUGUUCUUUGCCCAUUACAGCUAUGGAUUUGUUCAGCCAAGUUUUAAGUUCAGAUUUGUUCAGAGUGUGUUUUGGAACUCAUACUUUACACUAGCACAAUGAAGCUUUUCAUCAAAGCACAGACAAAAAUGGUACAGUAACCGAGUGAAGUGAAAAGAAAGAGACCAUAGAAGAGAGCAGGAAAGGAAGAGCGAGGGAGGAAGAGUAUAUUAAGGAGUAGUAUAUAAAGAGCAGAGAACCCUCCCUUCAAUGAGACAUGCUGUUUUCAGAUCAGAUUUAUAGCACACAUGCACUUGUAGUCACACUUAGUCUCACCACAGCCCUUCUGUCUACUCCACCCUGCCCUCCUUCUGUCCUCCUCUCUUCUUGUUUCUUGUCAAAAAAGGGAGAAAGGGAAAUAAAACUUGCUUCAUGCUUUUACUUCUUUCUUACUUUCUUUCUUACUUUCUUUCCUUUCCAUUCUUUCUAGUCCCUCUCUGUGGUUCAGCCCUCCCUGUCUGUGUUACUUUUCAGUUUGCACCCAUCCCCCUGCCUCUGCUCUUUUUCCCUCUGUUUUUCCUGCGGUGGUUGGGCUUUUUAGCGAAAAUUAGAGAAAGCCAAGGAUGUAGAGGAGGGCUGCCUGCUUCUAAAAAUACGGCUGGCUCUUUUCCUCUAGAAAGAAGAGAGCAAGGAUGGAAAGGAGCAUUUUUAGUUACCUUUUGUGUGUGAUGCAAAAAUGCUCAAUUUCACCCACUCUUGGUGAAGCCCACCCGACCUUUGUCUCAUUCAGAUUAGAUAAUCUCAGUACCUUGGGGGUGGGGGACAAACUCUAAGGUGACGUUUUUUGCACAAGGAAGUGAGUGGGUUGAAAUCAAAAUCUUGAUGAGGUUAAAAUUAACUAGAAAGAGUUUUUCCCCCACCCAAUCACCCCAGGCCCCGUGGAUGGGACAUGAAGAGGUCAGUGACCCAGAGAGAGAGGGGCGCUAAUAUGAACCAUCUGUAGAAAUCUGACACCUCAGGAGAAAGAGCGAGAACGAGGGGGAGACGGAGGAAGGGAGAGAGAAAAAUGCAUGAAGGAUAACAAAGAAACCUAUAGAAGAGUUUUAGCUCGAGGUUUGCUUUUUAGAUUUGCAGACUGUGAAUGUUUAUGUUUUUAUAAAUUACAAAGACAAUCAUAAAUAAAGUCACAAAAGCGCAAAAACCAGGGCUGUAAUACCUGCAACCCUUGGAUGGUGACUGAGCUUUUCCCUGGUGAAAUCAAAGUAGAGAUGAGCGAAAAUCCCUCCUUGUCUUUGAAUAGUAUAAAGUGUCUGAAAGAGGCCUGUUCCCCUGAGUACAGGCUGUUUGCUUGAGCCGGGUUUAAGUGUGUUUGUUGUUGUUUGAGUGUCAGCACUGCUGUGAUCUCAUGACCAGAGGGUCGCUGUGGGUGUAUUCUUACCCAAAGCACAAACUCAUACACCCACACAGCUGGAAAAGAGUGCUAAACCACGGUUGUGCAGUGUGACCAGAUGCAGGAUGCAAGCUUAUGCUAUUCUAGGGCCCUA